UCCUACGGGAGGCAGCAGUAGGGAAUCUUCCGCAAUGGGCGAAAGCCUGACGGAGCGAUGCCACGUGGAUGAUGGAGGCCUUCGGGUCGUAAAAUCCUGUCAGGGGGGACGAUGGUCAAUUUUCGGGUUGAUUGACGGUACCUUCAGAGGAAGCUCCGGCCAACUACGUGCCAGCAGCCGCGGUAAUACGUAGGGAGCAAGCGUUGUUCGGAUUUACUGGGCGUAAAGAGUGCGUAGGUGGCUAUACAAGUCAAUGGUGAAAUCUCUACUUUCAAGGUAGAAACUGCCUUUGAUACUGUAUGGCUAGAGGACAAGAGGGGGAAAUGGAACUCUGGGAGUAGCGGUGAAAUGCGUAGAUAUCCAGAGGAACGCCAGUAGCGAAGGCGGUUUCCUGGCUUGUUUCUGACACUGAGGCACUAAAGCUAGGGGAGCGAUCGGGAUUAGAUACCCGAGUAGUCCAAGCCG
rnacentral:rRNA from 1 species